rnacentral:lncRNA from 1 species
AUGGCUGCAAUCCACUCCCAGUUAAGCGGGGUCCGGUCAGGCCACCUUCAGCUCCAAAAUGCCCUGGGGGAUGUGAUGGACAUCCAGAACUUUCUUUCUGGUAGAAGUCAGCAAUGACUGGAGGCAAAACAUUAACACCAUUGAGAACCUGAAGUAUGUAAAAUAUGCUGGGACGCAACAUCAGCGGUGGCUCCUCAGAGGAGGAAAGUGAGGACCAUUCUCCUCAGUGAAUAUAUGUAUGCUAAAUAUAUUCACAUCACUAAAUAAUGAAUUAAAACACACUGUUUUGCAAUGAAGGUCUACAGUAGCCUCAACAGCACUCUCUGGGGUAGCACAAUGGUGUAGCUGGAGAACAGAUAGUUUCCGUCCUCCUCUGUGUACAUUAACUUCAUUACAAAACCUAAGAGGCUCAUGGUUGUCACCCCCUUCCAUAGACUUAGAGUAAUUAUGACUGUAUUAGAGGGUGAUGCCUCUGGAAUUUAUGCACUGAUUGAGUAGGUGAAGUUAUGGAGAUUGUGCUCUUAUUAGAGAAAUGGUGAGAGAGACAGUUCCUCAGUUUAGGGUUAUUUAAUGUUGAUUGGAGAUUAACAAUGUUUGCAAUUCUGUGCCAUGUCACUCAGCUGUGAUUAUCCAAUGAAC